rnacentral:rRNA from 1 species
CCAGCAGCCGCGGUAAUUCCAGCUCUACUAGCAUAUAUUAAAUUUGCUGCAGUUAAAACGCUCGUAGUUUGAGUUAUUGGGGCGGCUGUGGUUGGGGUGGUUUAUUCUGCCCCGGCCAGAGGCGUCUCAUUACAUCCUGGGGCGGGUUGUUAAGUCAGCUCGUCUCAAUUAGACCGUGAACAAAUGGUGAGGCUUAAACAGAGGGCAAUUGGCUCGUUUAGCCUUUUAGCAUGGGAUCUUAGAAUAUGGAAGGGAGGGGAGGGGGAGUGGGAGACCGCUUUUUCUUGUCUUUCUUCAAUGGUUAAUGAGGGUAAACGGGGAAGUUAAUAUUGAGUGGCUAGAGGUGAAAUUCUUGGAUUCACUCAAGAUUAACAUCAGCGAAGGCAUUCUUCAAGAAUACGCCUGU